rnacentral:rRNA from 1 species
GACGAACGCUGGCGGCGUGCCUAAUACAUGCAAGUAGAACGCUGAAGGAGGAGCUUGCUUCUCUGGAUGAGUUGCGAACGGGUGAGUAACGCGUAGGUAACCUGCCUGGUAGCGGGGGAUAACUAUUGGAAACGAUAGCUAAUACCGCAUAAGAGUAGAUGUUGCAUGACAUUUGCUUAAAAGGUGCAAUUGCAUCACUACCAGAUGGACCUGCGUUGUAUUAGCUAGUUGGUGAGGUAACGGCUCACCAAGGCAACGAUACAUAGCCGACCUGAGAGGGUGAUCGGCCACACUGGGACUGAGACACGGCCCAGACUCCUACGGGAGGCAGCAGUAGGGAAUCUUCGGCAAUGGACGGAAGUCUGACCGAGCAACGCCGCGUGAGUGAAGAAGGUUUUCGGAUCGUAAAGCUCUGUUGUAAGAGAAGAACGAGUGUGGGAGUGGAAAGUUCACACUGUGACGGUAUCUUACCAGAAAGGGACGGCUAACUACGUGCCAGCAGCCGCGGUAAUACGUAGGUCCCGAGCGUUGUCCGGAUUUAUUGGGCGUAAAGCGAGCGCAGGCGGUUAGAUAAGUCUGAAGUUAAAGGCUGUGGCUUAACCAUAGUACGCUUUGGAAACUGUUUAACUUGAGUGCAAGAGGGGAGAGUGGAAUUCCAUGUGUAGCGGUGAAAUGCGUAGAUAUAUGGAGGAACACCGGUGGCGAAAGCGGCUCUCUGGCUUGUUACUGACGCUGAGGCUCGAAAGCGCGGGGGAGCAAACAAG